rnacentral:rRNA from 1 species
UUAAGCGACUAAGCGUACACGGUGGAUGCCCUGGCAGUCAGAGGCGAUGAAGGACGUGCUAAUCUGCGAUAAGCGUCGGUAAGGUGAUAUGAACCGUUAUAACCGGCGAUUUCCGAAUGGGGAAACCCAGUGUGUUUCGACACACUAUCAUUAACUGAAUCCAUAGGUUAAUGAGGCGAACCGGGGGGAACUGAAACAUCUAAGUACCCCGAGGAAAAGAAAUCAACCGAGAUUCCCCCAGUAGCGGCGAGCGAACGGGGAGGAGCCCAGAGCCUGAAUCAGUGUGUGUGUUAGUGGAAGCGUCUGGAAAGGCGCGCGAUACAGGGUGACAGCCCCGUACACAAAAAUGCACAUGCUGUGAGCUCGAUGAGUAGGGCGGGACACGUGGUAUCCUGUCUGAAUAUGGGGGGACCAUCCUCCAAGGCUAAAUACUCCUGACUGACCGAUAGUGAACCAGUACCGUGAGGGAAAGGCGAAAAGAACCCCGGCGAGGGGAGUGAAAAAGAACCUGAAACCGUGUACGUACAAGCAGUGGGAGCACAGAGCAAUCUGUGUGACUGCGUACCUUUUGUAUAAUGGGUCAGCGACUUAUAUUCUGUAGCAAGGUUAACCGAAUAGGGGGAGCCGAAGGGAAACCGAGUCUUAACUGGGCGUUAAGUUGCAGGGUAUAGACCCGAAACCCGGUGAUCUAGCCAUGGGCUGGUUGAAGGUUGGGUAACACUAACUGGAGGACCGAACCGACUAAUGUUGAAAAAUUAGCGGAUGACUUGUGGCUGGGGGUGAAAGGCCACUCAAACCGGGAGAUAGCUGGUGCUCCCCGAAAGCUAUUUAGGUAGCGCCUCGUGAAUUCAUCUCCGGGGGGUAGAGCACUGUUUCGGCAAGGGGGUCAUCCCGACUUACCAACCCGAUGCAAACUGCGAAUACCGGAGAAUGUUAUCACGGGAGACACACGGCGGGUGCUAACGUCCGUCGUGAAGAGGGAAACAACCCAGACCGCCAGCUAAGGUCCCAAAGUCAUGGUUAAGUGGGAAACGAUGUGGGAAGGCCCAGACAGCCAGGAUGUUGGCUUAGAAGCAGCCAUCAUUUAAAGAAAGCGUAAUAGCUCACUGGUCGAGUCGGCCUGCGCGGAAGAUGUAACGGGGCUAAACCAUGCACCGAAGCUGCGGCAGCGACACUGUGUGUUGUUGGGUAGGGGAGCGUUCUGUAAGCCUGUGAAGGUGUGCUGUGAGGCAUGCUGGAGGUAUCAGAAGUGCGAAUGCUGACAUAAGUAACGAUAAAGCGGGUGAAAAGCCCGCUCGCCGGAAGACCAAGGGUUCCUGUCCAACGUUAAUCGGGGCAGGGUGAGUCGACCCCUAAGGCGAGGCCGAAAGGCGUAGUCGAUGGGAAACAGGUUAAUAUUCCUGUACUUGGUGUUACUGCGAAGGGGGGACGGAGAAGGCUAUGUUGGCCGGGCGACGGUUGUCCCGGUUUAAGCGUGUAGGCUGGUUUUCCAGGCAAAUCCGGAAAAUCAAGGCUGAGGCGUGAUGACGAGGCACUACGGUGCUGAAGCAACAAAUGCCCUGCUUCCAGGAAAAGCCUCUAAGCAUCAGGUAACAUCAAAUCGUACCCCAAACCGACACAGGUGGUCAGGUAGAGAAUACCAAGGCGCUUGAGAGAACUCGGGUGAAGGAACUAGGCAAAAUGGUGCCGUAACUUCGGGAGAAGGCACGCUGAUAUGUAGGUGAAGUCCCUCGCGGAUGGAGCUGAAAUCAGUCGAAGAUACCAGCUGGCUGCAACUGUUUAUUAAAAACACAGCACUGUGCAAACACGAAAGUGGACGUAUACGGUGUGACGCCUGCCCGGUGCCGGAAGGUUAAUUGAUGGGGUCAGCGCAAGCGAAGCUCUUGAUCGAAGCCCCGGUAAACGGCGGCCGUAACUAUAACGGUCCUAAGGUAGCGAAAUUCCUUGUCGGGUAAGUUCCGACCUGCACGAAUGGCGUAAUGAUGGCCAGGCUGUCUCCACCCGAGACUCAGUGAAAUUGAACUCGCUGUGAAGAUGCAGUGUACCCGCGGCAAGACGGAAAGACCCCGUGAACCUUUACUAUAGCUUGACACUGAACAUUGAGCCUUGAUGUGUAGGAUAGGUGGGAGGCUUUGAAGUGUGGACGCCAGUCUGCAUGGAGCCGACCUUGAAAUACCACCCUUUAAUGUUUGAUGUUCUAACGUGGACCCGUGAUCCGGGUUGCGGACAGUGUCUGGUGGGUAGUUUGACUGGGGCGGUCUCCUCCUAAAGAGUAACGGAGGAGCACGAAGGUUGGCUAAUCCUGGUCGGACAUCAGGAGGUUAGUGCAAUGGCAUAAGCCAGCUUGACUGCGAGCGUGACGGCGCGAGCAGGUGCGAAAGCAGGUCAUAGUGAUCCGGUGGUUCUGAAUGGAAGGGCCAUCGCUCAACGGAUAAAAGGUACUCCGGGGAUAACAGGCUGAUACCGCCCAAGAGUUCAUAUCGACGGCGGUGUUUGGCACCUCGAUGUCGGCUCAUCACAUCCUGGGGCUGAAGUAGGUCCCAAGGGUAUGGCUGUUCGCCAUUUAAAGUGGUACGCGAGCUGGGUUUAGAACGUCGUGAGACAGUUCGGUCCCUAUCUGCCGUGGGCGCUGGAGAACUGAGGGGGGCUGCUCCUAGUACGAGAGGACCGGAGUGGACGCAUCACUGGUGUUCGGGUUGUCAUGCCAAUGGCACUGCCCGGUAGCUAAAUGCGGAAGAGAUAAGUGCUGAAAGCAUCUAAGCACGAAACUUGCCCCGAGAUGAGUUCUCCCUGACCCUUUAAGGGUCCUGAAGGAACGUUGAAGACGACGACGUUGAUAGGCCGGGUGUGUAAGCGCAGCGAUGCGUUGAGCUAACCGGUACUAAUGAACCGUGAGGCUUAACCU